rnacentral:rRNA from 1 species
UACGAAGGGUGCAAGCGUUACUCGGAAUUACUGGGCGUAAAGCGUGCGUAGUCGGUUAUCUAAGUCGGGUGUGAAAUCCCCGGGCUCAACCUGGGAAUUGCAUUCGAUACUGGAUAGCUAGAGUUCGGCAGAGGGAAGCGGAAUUUCGGGUGUAGCGGUGAAAUGCGUAGAUAUCCGAAGGAACAUCAGUGGCGAAAGCGGCUUCCUGGACCAGAACUGACGAUCAGGCACGAAAGCGUGGGGAGCAAACAGG